UAGUAUUUUCACAUGGACGCCCAUCUGCGUUAAUCCACCGCAGGUUUAUUAGGAUAAAGAGACAGCGAUUGAAAAUAACUUUUAUUUGAACGGUGGGGGGAGGGGUGUUGCCGUUUGCUUUUGCUGGAAAUGAUCUCAUUCAUUUAGAGCAAGAGUUACUGCUAAAGUGUAGGGCGCUCUCACUCGAGGAGUCUGUGUCUUUGCCUUUUGCGCUAUAUUCUGUGUGUACCAUGGGCAUACUGGAAAUCCACAAUAGUCCAACGUGCUUGGUGCGCGCCACAGGUCCGUGUGCAGAUUAGCGAGGGGCUUCUCGGACGUUUUGCCAAUGCACUUGCGGCGCGACUGUGCGCUUUUUUUGGGGGGGUGGUGGUAAGGAAAGUACAAAAUGGAGGCGGCUCGCACUCGGCAGGGUGUGGUAUCAGGAGGCAGAGGAUGCGGAAGAGUGCAAAGUCGUGUUUGACAAAACAGCAGAAGAACAACGUGGUGAAGGCGGAGCUUGGAACGAACGCGACGCAUGAUAUUUAAAGGGGCGGAUCUAACGUUGGAGUCUAGCCAUGAAAUCCUCCUGCUGUAUAUUCCUCUGGUAUCUGCUUGAAACAAAACCUACUCCAUAUGCAUUUCAGACUCAGUCAGACGAGACAACACACAAUAGUGGAGAAAACUGCCAGAAAGCAAUACUGGAUGAGUAUGUAGUACAUCAAACUGAUCGACACGACUGGAACAAAAGAUUUUGGUGGUAC